CAGUAGCCGCGGUAAUACAGAGGGUGCGAGCGUUAAUCGGAUUUACUGGGCGUAAAGCGUGCGUAGGCGGCUAAUUGAGUCGGAUGUGAAAUCCCCGAGCUUAACUUGGGAAUUGCAUUCGAUACUGGUUAGCUAGAGUGUGGGAGAGGAUGGUAGAAUUCCAGGUGUAGCGGUGAAAUGCGUAGAGAUCUGGAGGAAUACCGAUGGCGAAGGCAGCCAUCUGGCCUAACACUGACGCUGAGGUACGAAAGCAUGGGGAGCAAACAGGAUUAGAUACCCCUGUAGUCCCUGUCUCUUAUAC
rnacentral:rRNA from 1 species